CACAGCAAGGGGCUGGCACUCACCUGAACGCAGAACCGCAGUGGACAGACCAUCUUGUGACCCUGGACACCCUGAUCUCUUCUAGGAAUCAGGACAUGGACACAUUUAUGGCCAUCAUUCUGCCUGUCACAUGUGGAGACAAGACAAGGAAUAUUGUUGGAGAUUAAAACAGAGAAUGAAUCAGCUUGCUACACAGAUGGAUAAGGUGUCCCCCAAGAUGUUCUUGAUGAGUAAGUAAACCUUUCCAGGAGAUGGUCACACAGCAAAGGAAGAUGUCAGCAGAGAAACAAUGGCGUCUUCACUCAAUAUCACCACUGCCUUAUUCCAGAGAAAGAAGCUCCCAUGCAAGACCUUGCUAUCCCUUCUCUGUAUGCAGUGUCUUCGGAGGAGAUCUGCCCAUUGUGAUAUAGGAUCCUUAGCUAAUCUGUUGAGAUACUCCCCUAAAUGAACAAACAGAGAUGCUCCUGUAAUGUCGACUUAUAAUGGAUUUUUUUUCAUUGAUUAUGAGAUUAGAGUCUCAGCCCAAAUUGGCCCAUUUAGAAAAACAACAAUAAAGAAUUUUUGAAUUCUUC
rnacentral:lncRNA from 1 species